GCUAGUCGUGCGCCUCCAGCCAUGGUGGAGGCGCGGCGCACAGCUCAGUAACACGUGGCUAACCUGCCCUUGGGACGGGGACAACCCCGGGAAACUGGGGCUAAUCCCCGAUAGGUGAGGACUCCUGGAAUGGGUCCUCGCCGAAAGGGCGUCUAGACCAUGCUUCUAGGCGUCGCCCAAGGAUGGGGCCGCGGCCGAUCAGGUUGUUGGUGAGGUAACGGCUCACCAAGCCUAAGACCGGUACGGGCCGUGGGAGCGGUAGCCCGGAGAUGGACACUGAGACAAGGGUCCAGGCCCUACGGGGCGCAGCAGUCGCGAAACCUCCGCAAUACGCGAAAGCGUGACGGGGCCAUCCCGAGUGCCGUCCGCUGAGGACGGCUUUUCCCCAGUGUAGACAGCUGGGGGAAUAAGGGGAGGGCAAGUCGGGUGUCAGCCGCCGCGGUAAUACCCGCUCCCCGAGUGGUGGGGACGCUUAUUGGGCUUAAAGCGUCCGUAGCCGG
rnacentral:rRNA from 1 species